AUGGGUUGCCUGAUCUCUGGAUACUUCCCUGAACCAGCCACCGUGCGAUGGAAUUCGGGAGCUAUCACCUCCGGCAUCCAGAACUUCCCUUCACUGCUGCAAUCAUCCAGUGGCCGCUACCUCUUAAGUAGCCAACUUACGGUCCCGGCCUCCCGCUGGCAAUCUGAGACUUUCCAAUGCAACGUUGCACAUGCAGCUACCAGCUCUGCAACUGACUUAGAGAUCAAAUCCUGCGCUCGCCAUGACCCAGUGGCUCCAAAAGUCUACCUCCUCCAUUCCUCCUGCAACCACAAGACUGAUGACUCCACCAUUCAGCUUGUGUGCUUUAUCACAGACUUCUACCCUAGCACAAUCACAGUGAAUUGGCUGGUGGACGGAAAAUCCGGGGUGCUGGCUGCCCACACUGAGUCUGCCAAGAAAGACGCUACUGGGUUCACCUUCAGCACUACCAGCACAGUCAACAUUACCCAAGUAGAGUGGAAAGAGGGGAAGACAUACACCUGCGAGGUGAUCCAUCAGGAAAACUUAGUAAAGAAGCACGCCUCAAAAUGCCCAGGUGUCAGCGGUGCAUGUACAACCAGUGGCGCUAAGAUCUCUAUCACGCCUCCGACUCCGGCUGACCUAUACAUGAAUGGAGAUCCCAAGCUCAUCUGCGUGAUAGCUAAUCUUGAAAGCGAUGUGGGACUAAAAGUGACCUGGUCCUGGGAGAAACCAGGAACCUUGAUCCCCGAACCACUGGAAACUUCAUCAAAUGAGGAUGGCACCUUCACAGCUGAGAGUUCCCUGAUUGUCUCCAAGCAAAGCUGGCUGGCAGGGGACAUCUACACUUGCAAAGCGGAACAUGCAGCCUUUGUUGCUCCCCUAAGUAUGCCGAUUGCCAGAAAGACAGGCAAGCGCACCCGCCCCCAUGUGUACCUCUUCCGCCCCCACAAUGAAGAGUUGAGAUCUCGCGAUCCAAAUGUAUCCCUGACCUGCCUGGUCCUAGGGUUCAAUCCUGAGGAAAUCUCCAUUCAGUGGCUCGAGAAUCACAAUGCUGUGACAGAAGACAACCAUGUUACCACCCCAGUCCUGAUGGAUAGCAAUCAAGAGUCCUUUUAUGUCUAUAGCAAGCUGACAGUCCCCAAGAACAGCUGGAACAAUGGCAAUUCUUUCACCUGCCACGUUGUCCACGAAGGGCUCGACAUGAAGUACACCCAGAGGACCAUUGAGAAAAUUCAGGGUAAAAAAUGA